GCCCGCCUAGCUCAAUUGGUCAGAGCGUCAGACUUUUAAGGCGGGUUGAAACGCCUGAGUUUAUCUGAAGGCUGCGAGUUCGACCCUCGCGGUGGGCU
rfam:Hydnomerulius pinastri MD-312 unplaced genomic scaffold scaffold_12, whole genome shotgun sequence.